rnacentral:rRNA from 1 species
GAUGAACGCUGGCGGCGUGCCUAAUACAUGCAAGUCGAGCGAACGGAUAAGGAGCUUGCUCCUUUGAAGUUAGCGGCGGACGGGUGAGUAACACGUGGGUAACCUACCUAUAAGACUGGAAUAACUUCGGGAAACCGGAGCUAAUGCCGGAUAACAUUUGGAACUGCAUGGUUCUAAAGUAAAAGCUGGUUUUGCUAUCACUUAUAGAUGGACCCGCGCCGUAUUAGCUAGUUGGUAAGGUAACGGCUUACCAAGGCAACGAUACGUAGCCGACCUGAGAGGGUGAUCGGCCACACUGGAACUGAGACACGGUCCAGACUCCUACGGGAGGCAGCAGUAGGGAAUCUUCCGUAAUGGACGAAAGUCUGACGGAGCAACGCCGCGUGAGUGAUGAAGGUUUUCGGAUCGUAAAACUCUGUUAUUAGGGAAGAACAAAUGUGUAAGUAACUGUGCACAUCUUGACGGUACCUAAUCAGAAAGCCACGGCUAACUACGUGCCAGCAGCCGCAGUAA